rnacentral:rRNA from 1 species
UGGGGAAUCUUGCGCAAUGCACGAAAGUGUGACGCAGCAACGCCGCGUGAGUGAAGACGGCCUUCGGGUUGUAAAGCUCUUUCAGUUGGGACGAAGCAGUGCCGGUGAAUAGCCGGAUCCUGUGACGGUACCUUCAGAAGAAGCCCCGGCUAACUACGUGCCAGCAGCCGCGGUAAUACGUAGGGGGCAAGCGUUGUCCGGAAUCAUUGGGCGUAAAGCGCGUGUAGGCGGUUCGAUUAGUCUGCUGUGAAAGUCGGGGGCUCAACCCUCGAAUGCCGGUGGAUACUGUCGGGCUAGAGUGCGGAAGAGGCGAGUGGAAUUCCUGGUGUAGCGGUGAAAUGCGCAGAUAUCAGGAGGAACACCAAUUGCGAAGGCAGCUCGCUGGGACGUUACUGACGCUGAGACGCGAAAGCGUGGGGAGCAAACAG